AGCAGCCGCGGUAAUUCCAGCUCCAAUAGCGUAUAUUAAAGUUGUUGCAGUUAAAAAGCUCGUAGUUGAAUUUCGGGAUCAAUCUGUUGGCCGUGCCUUUGGUACGUACUAGCUUAUUGAUUUCUCCCUUCUGACGAACCAUGAUGUCAUUUAUUUGGUGUUGUGGGGAAUCAGGACUGUUACUUUGAAAAAAUUAGAGUGUUUAAAGCAGGCUCACGCUUGAAUACAUUAGCAUGGAAUAAUGAAAUAGGACGUUUGAUUCUAUUUUGUUGGUUUCUAGGAUCGACGUAAUGAUUAAUAGGGAUAGUUGGGGGCAUUAGUAUUCAAUUGUCAGAGGUGAAAUUCUUGGAUUUAUUGAAGACUAACUACUGCGAAAGCAUUUGCCAAGGAUGUUUUCAUUAAUCAAGAACGAAAGUUAGGGGAUCGAAGACGAUCAGAUACCGUCGUAGUCUUAACCAUAAACUAUGCCGACUAGGGAUCGGAUGAUGUAAUUUUUAAUGA
rnacentral:rRNA from 1 species